AUUGAACGCUGGCGGCAUGCCUUACACAUGCAAGUCGAACGCGAAAGUGGGGGCGACCCUGCGAGUAGAGUGGCGAACGGGUGAGUAACACAUCGGAACGUACCCAGGAGUGGGGGACAACCUCGAGAAAUCGAGGCUAAUACCGCAUGCGUCCUGAGGGAGAAAGCGGGGGAUCCGCAAGGACCUCGCGCUCAUGGAGCGGCCGAUGUCGGAUUAGCUAGUUGGCGGGGUAAGAGCCCACCAAGGCUACGAUCCGUAGCUGGUUUGAGAGAACGACCAGCCACACUGGGACUGAGACACGGCCCAGACUCCUAUGGGAGGCAGCAGUGGGGAAUUUUGGACAAUGGGGGCAACCCUGAUCCAGCCAUGCCGCGUGAGUGAAGAAGGCCUUCGGGUUGUAAAGCUCUUUCGGCCGGAACGAAAUCGCGUACGUGAACAACGUGCGUGGAUGACGGUACUGGAAGAAGAAGCACCGGCUAACUACGUGCCAGCCGCCGCCGUAAUAC
rnacentral:rRNA from 1 species